GUUUCUAAUCAGUAUUUAUCACCACCCCACUAUCAAUCAUUCAGAGCUGGUCAUUACUCCUUAUCUUCCUCGGAGAUGGUUUCGUUCCAACUUCCUAUCUGUCUCCUCCCUCCUAUAUAGAUUGUUUCGUUAAAUCUUACAUCAAACCAAAAUCUCCACCCUCAGCAGAAAAAAAAAAAGAAAAUAAGCUAUAGCCAUAAAAUCUGCUGAAGCCAUCGAAAUGACUAGAGUUGAUCUAAACGUCUUUUCAUCUUCUGCCGCCGACACAGAGUCUGAUCCGAGUGUCACCAUAAACGGCUUGAAACCCUUAUCCUUUCGUCAUCGGGACGGAUCUACCCUCGCCAAAACGAAUCAAAACAGCUGUUGGACAAGUUGUGCGCUUCUGGAGGAGGUUUGCGGAUGGAUUAAUGCUAAAGCCAUUGUUCCAGUAUAGGCUAAGAUGACUUCUAAUAUUAUUGACAUAACAGAGGGACGCGACAUCUUUCUCACCGGCGGCUCGGAUCAUG